GGUAAAGUGGCCGAGUGGUCUAAGGCGCACGGUUUAGGUUUCUUCAUUUGUCUCCGUGUCUCGAAAGAGGCGAGGGUUCGAACCCCUCCUUUGCCA
rfam:Penicillium arizonense strain CBS 141311 PENARI_contig007, whole genome shotgun sequence.